rnacentral:rRNA from 1 species
UGCGGAAGGAUCAUUACCGAGUGAGGGUCCCUCGGGGCCCAACCUCCCAUCCGUGUUGUCCUGACACCUGUUGCUUCGGCGGGCCCGCCGUGGUUCACGCCCCGGCCGCCGGGGGGUUCACGCCCCCGGGCCCGCGCCCGCCGAAGACCCCUGGAACGCUGCCUGGAAGGUUGCCGUCUGAGUAUACAAUCAAUCAAUUAAAACUUUCAACAACGGAUCUCUUGGUUCCGGCAUCGAUGAAGAACGCAGCGAAAUGCGAUAAGUAAUGUGAAUUGCAGAAUUCCGUGAAUCAUCGAAUCUUUGAACGCACAUUGCGCCCCCUGGCAUUCCGGGGGGCAUGCCUGUCCGAGCGUCAUUGCUAACCCUCCAGCCCGGCUGGUGUGUUGGGCCGCCGUCCCCCCUCCCCGGGGGACGGGCCCGAAAGGCAGCGGCGGCGUCGCGUCCGGUCCUCGAGCGUAUGGGGCUCUGUCACACGCUUCAGUAGAACCGGCCGGCUUGCUGGCCAUCACCUAUAUUUUUCUCUUAGGUUGACCUCGGAUCAGGUAGGGAUACCCGCUGAACUUAAGCAUAUCAAUAAGACGGGAGGAAGAUCAUUACCGAGUGAGGGUCCCUCGGGGCCAACCUCCAUCGUUGUUGUCCUGACACUGUUGGCUUCGGCGGGCC